rnacentral:rRNA from 1 species
CCUACGCGUGGCAGCAGUGGGGGAUAUUGCACAAUGGGGGAAACCCUGAUGCAGCGACGCCGCGUGAGUGAAGAAGUAUUUCGGUAUGUAAAGCUCUAUCAGCAGGGAAGAAAAUGACAGUACCUGACCAAGAAGCCCUGGCUAACUACGGGCCAGCAGCCGCGGAUAUACGUAGGGGGCAAGCGUUAUCCGGAUUUACUGGCUGUAAAGGGAGCGUAGACGGUUAUGUAAGUCUGGAGUGAAAGCCCGGGGCCCAACCCCGGGACGGCUUUGGAAACUGUGUAACUGGAUAACAGGAGUGGCAGGCGGAAUUCCUGGUGUAGCGGUGAAAUGCGUAGAUAUCAGGAGGAACACCGGCGGCGAAGGCGGCCUGCUGGACUGAAGCUGACGUUGAGGCUCGAAAGCGUGGGGAGCAAACAGGAUUAGAUACCCUUGUAGUC